CAACUCUUUGCUGCUUUCUAUUCCGGACCGAAAGGUCAGUUUUCAUGCGUUUUAGGUUGUCCCGAUUCCUUCUUCCCUGUUUUACCCUCCCAAGCCGAAAGCCACCUCCACCUCCACCCUCUCCCUCCCGAUUUCUUCCGGCCUCAUCGUUUUCGAGCAGGAACUAGGGCUCUGUCAAGGUUAUUGAUCUCCAAAUUCCGGCCACCCGAUUCCUUUCUGGGUAUUGGAUUGUUAGCUACCGAUUUGCUCCAGACAUAAAUCGUUCGCAAGCUGAAGCUCUAGUUGCAAUUCAAGAGUGUGAUAUUGGUUCCUACUGAAGCGGCUUGUUUGAUUGCUUCCUCCAUCCACAGUUGACCGUCUUCUUUUGAUACAAUCACUUAAUGGCUCGUCUGCCUUUAAUUGCACAAAGUGUGAGGCGUAAAAGAAUUGGUAUUGCAUUGACAAUAUGGUUGGAAAUCUGUAGAAUUGCGAUUUGGUUCUUAUUUACAAUGGGUGCCAGCCUUAGCCUACAUACUUAUAAACCAAGGAUUAGGUCCUAUACCACGCGACCAGAUAGAAACCAAGGGGGUUCCUCAUCUUCAAGGAAGAAAAAGAAGAAUUCUACUGCAGGUGAUAAUAUUUCUUCUUCAUUUAAUGACGCUGCCACUUUAUUGGCCGAAAACAUGCGGGCCAUUGACGAACAAAUCAGUAGGAGUAUUGCCUCCGAUGUGGUAGUGCAACAGAAGUCAGAAGAAUUCCAGAUCAUCCAAGAAAAAGCUACAAAUUUAUAUUCAACCUUAUGUGAAGUAGAAGGUUUAUCUGUGGAUGAGUGGCAUCGAGCUUUGAGUAAAAUUCCAGAUCAUCCAACUCAAAUGCUCGUUUUCUUUAGUUUACCUUCUGAGGCCCGGUUGGAAUGGGUCAGAAGAUUUGUUUUUAACCAUUAAAAAUCAAUGUUCAAACUUUUUGAUGUUAUAAAACUAUAUAACAUAUGGAUUAUGAUGUAGAAUUUCAUUUUCAUCUAACCUUUUGUUAAUAUAAGUUAAUUAUGUUUAUGUUA